AACAGUAUAGUGUAAUAGGUAAACAUAUUAGGCUCAUAACCUAAAGAUAUUUGUUCAAAUCAAAUUAUUGUUU
rfam:Hanseniaspora osmophila strain AWRI3579 Hanseniaspora_osmophila_AWRI3579_scaffold288, whole genome shotgun sequence.